UGCUCCCCGAUGCAGUAUAUUCCGUACACC
rnacentral:piRNA from 1 species